UGGCGGCACUAGCGCGGUGGUCCCACCUGACCCCAUGCCGAACUCAGAAGUGAAACGCCGUAGCGCCGAUGGUAGUGUGGGGUCUCCCCAUGC
rnacentral:rRNA from 2 species